rnacentral:rRNA from 1 species
CCUACGGGAGGCAGCAGUAAGGAAUAUUGGUCAAUGGACGAAAGUCUGAACCAGCCAUGCCGCGUGAAGGAUGACGGCCCUCUGGGUUGUAAACUUCUUUUAUAGGGGACGAAAAAAGGGUAUUCUUACUCACUUGACGGUACCCUAGGAAUAAGCACCGGCUAACUCCGUGCCAGCAGCCGCGGUAAUACGGAGGGUGCAAGCGUUAUCCGGAUUCACUGGGUUUAAAGGGUGCGUAGGUGGGUCUAUAAGUCAGUGGUGAAAUCUCCGAGCUUAACUCGGAAACUGCCAUUGAUACUAUAGGCCUUGAAUUAUCUGGAGGUAAGCGGAAUAUGUCAUGUAGCGGUGAAAUGCUUAGAUAUGACAUAGAACACCAAUUGCGAAGGCAGCUUACUACGGAUAUAUUGACACUGAGGCACGAAAGCGUGGGGAUCAAACAGGAUUAGAUACCCUGGUAGUCCACGCCCUAAACUAUGGAUACUCGACAUCAGCGAUACACUGUUGGUGUCUGAGCGAAAGCAUUAAGUAUCCCACCUGGGAAGUACGACCGCAAGGUUGAAACUUAAAGGAAUUGACGG